AUUAUUCUAUCAUAUCACCUGUAUUAAUAAACUUGACAGUACAAAAGCAUCCGAUAUUUCCUUUCCAUCAAUAUUCAACCAAAUUUUGGACGAAUCGAACCUGUUUUUGCCGUCCAUAUUUUCAUAAAAAGAUGUAUGUCAAGGUUGUUGGGGCACUAGUACUGCUGCUAGUACUAUUCAGACUCUCUGUUGAAGCUACUCACAGUGGAAUGAACUUAACCGAGUAUAUCAACCCCGAUUCUUAAUAAGCACGAGUAUGUGAGUGCUAAGAUAUUUUUGAUACAGGAAUUAUGUUUAACCAAAUAAAGGAAUUGUUACGAUAAGUA